rnacentral:rRNA from 1 species
AUGCCGGCGAGUGGCGGACGGGUGAGGAACACAUCGGAAUCUGCCCCGUCGUGGGGGAUAACGUAGGGAAACUUACGCUAAUACCGCAUACGACCCGAGGGUGAAAGCGGGGGACCGCAAGGCCUCGCGCGAUGGGAUGAGCCGAUGUCCGAUUAGCUGGUUGGCGGGGUAAUGGCCCACCAAGGCGACGAUCGGUAGCUGGUCUGAGAGGAUGAUCAGCCACACUGGGACUGAGACACGGCCCAGACUCCUACGGGAGGCAGCAGUGGGGAAUAUUGGACAAUGGGCGCAAGCCUGAUCCAGCCAUGCCGCGUGGGUGAAGAAGGCCUUCGGGUUGUAAAGCCCUUUUGUCCGGGAAGAAAGCGCCCUGGUGAACAGCCGGGGUGGAUGACGGUACCGGAAGAAUAAGCACCGGCUAACUUCGUGCCAGCAGCCGCGGUAAUACGAAGGGUGCAAGCGUUACUCGGAAUUACUGGGCGUAAAGCGUGCGUAGGCGGUUCGUUAAGUCAGAUGUGAAAGCCCCGGGCUCAACCUGGGAAUGGCAUUUGAUACUGGCGGGCUAGAGUACGGUAGAGGGUGGUGGAAUUCCCGGUGUAGCAGUGAAAUGCGUAGAGAUCGGGAGGAACAUCCGUGGCGAAGGCGGCCACCUGGACCAGUACUGACGCUGAGGCACGAAAGCGUGGGGAGCAAACAGGAUUAGAU